rnacentral:rRNA from 1 species
AUUGAACGCUGGCGGCAGGCUUAACACAUGCCAGUCGAACGAGUGGCGGACGGGUGAGUAAUGUUUGGGAAUCUGGCUUAUGGAGGGGGAUAACGACUGGAAACUGUCGCUAAUACCGCGUACCAUAGGAUGAGCCCAAGGGGGAUUAGGUAGUUGGUGGGGUAAUGGCCUACCAAGCCGGCGAUCUCUAGCUGGUCUGAGCGGAUGACCAGCCACACUGGGACUGUGACACGGCCUGGACUCCGACGGGAGGAAGAAGGGGGGAAUAUUGCACAAUGGGGGCAACCCUGACGCAGCCAGGCCGCGUGAAUGAAGAAGGCCUUAGGGUUGUAAAGUUCUUGCGGUGGGGAGGCGUUAAGCACAGAAGAAGCACAGGCUAACUCCGUGCCAGCAGCCGCGGUAAUUC